rnacentral:lncRNA from 14 species
UUAGCAUUAAAAAAGCAUCAGAAUACAGAAGUCUGAGAGGACAAACUUUGGAAACUGAAAUACUUUCCAGAGUAACUGGAAAAUCCGUCGGGUGCCGAGAAGAAAACCAGUGUAAGUUACGUGCAGAAUCAGCGAGGCUGGAAGAGCUGAGCAGAGCCUGGAAAGGAGUCUCAGAGGACUGCGAGACAUCGGCAGGUGGCAGCAUCGUCCCAGCAUGUGCACUAGCACAAUCACUGGAUGCAUUCCUUGUAGAAGAAGGUGCUUGCAUGUUAUGCCAAGAGGGAUCCCAGCUUGUAGGUUGAAAUACUAUACGGCUUCUCUGAGGGAAAAUUAAUCUACAGUUUUCUAUAGAGUACCAUGGGAUAAAGUAAACAGUGCUUUAAUAUGUCUUCUAAAGGACAUACUAUAAAAAUAAAAGUGACACAUUUUUUACUUGUUUUGAGUGC